GUCUAUAGCUGUAAGGAGGACAAAGAAACUCAAAAAAUAAAAACUCAAUAACUUAAUGCUAGAGUAUACAGAGGAAGUGAGACUUAAAUGACACAGGUAAGUUAUUAACGUGACCUCUUAUAUCAAUGAUAAUAUAUUAUGUGUAAAUUUUUAUCUUUACAUGUCAUUGUAUUAUUAGCAUGAAAUGUCAUAGUGACGCUUUACUUGUGCGAUGCCAUUUAAGUUGCUAUAGAGGAUGAGGGAUAGAGAGAGGGAUAGAGAGAGGGAUAGCUAGAGGUGCAUAAAAGCUAUCAUUUAUAUAGAGAUGAGGGAAGCUAGCUAGUUAGAUAGAAUAAUCUAGAGAGAGAGAGAGAGAGCUAGGAGGAUUGUCACGAGGCUCCUCCCUCUUUCUCUUACCUAAAAUAUGCACGCCUCUCUAUAUGUAGGCUAAGCUGAGAGUGAAAUUCUGAAAAGCUUCAGCUGUUUCCUUAAAAAGUUCAACGAAGGCCAAACCUUUAUGCAGCUUCUUGGUUCAUCUUUCUUCCCUUGUCUGGUUUGUUGGUUUGAGAGCUUGAAGCUGCCAGCAUGAUCUGGUAUACAUAACUAUAGCUAUCACAUAUAUGUAUAUAUAUAUCAAUGGUGUUCCGCAUGUAUAUACCUUAGAUCUUGCACCACCAUUUUUUAUUAUAUACAGAUCUUGAUUAUUUCAUGCUUUUGGAUAAAAGGGUUUUUAAUUUUUAGUCAAUUAACCAAGAGAGUAAUUGGCAUCCUGCUAAUUACAAUUUUUUCUUUUUCUUUUUCAAUAAAAAAAAUUAUACAGAUUGAUCAGAAGCCUGUUUUUAAAAUCUUGUAUUCAUAUUUUCAAUUAGUUAGAUAUAACACACAAACACACACAUAUAUAUAGGAUAUUCAACCAGGUCAUCUGGCAGCUUCAAUCACUCAUUCAUCAACAAUAGAAAAUGUUUCUGAGCUAAGAACACAAGGUCUCUUGUGGUGAAGGAUUACUCUCAUCCCAAGGACAGCUUUGUUUGAGUUUGGUGCAGGGUAACAUCCCUCGGCAUAUAAAAAUCAAAGAUUGUGGUCUGCUACAGAAACUCAGUGGCUCAUUUGAUGAUAUGAUCAUUGAAUUAAAUUUAGUGUUUCUUUGCAGAACCAUAUUUAUCAAAUUUUUCACUACAAAUGAAUGUUUUGGUGAUUUUGGA